rnacentral:rRNA from 1 species
CCGCACAAGCGGUGGAGCAUUGUGGUUUAAUUCGACGCAACGCGAAAACUUCCCACUUUGACAUGUACGGAACCCUUUAGAGAUAGAGGGGUGCUCGAAAGAGAGCCGUAACACAGGUGCUGCAUGGCUGUCGUCAGCUCGUGUCGUGAGAUGUUGGGUUAAGUCCCGCAACGAGCGCAACCCUUGUCAUUAGUUGCUACAUUCAGUUGGGCACUCUAAUGGGACUGCCGGUGACAAGCCGGAGGAAGGUGGGGAUGACGUCAAGUCCUCAUGGCCCUUAUAGGUGGGGCUACACACGUCAUACAAUGGCUGGUACAAAGGGUUGCCAACCCGCGAGGGGGAGCCAAUCCCAUAAAGCCAGUCGUAGUCCGGAUCGUAGUCUGCAACUCGACUACGUGAAGUCGGAAUCGCUAGUAAUCGUGGAUCAGAAUGUCACGGUGAAUACGUUCCCGGGUCUU